rnacentral:rRNA from 1 species
CACGAAGUUUGCCGGGGCUUAUUCUCCAGGUACCGUCAUUAUCGUCCCUGGCAAAAGAGCUUUACAACCCUAAGGCCUUCUUCACUCACGCGGCAUGGCUGGAUCAGGCUUGCGCCCAUUGUCCAAGAUUCCCCA